GCCUGUCAGUGCUAAGGUCGGAGCGAACCACUGACCAGGAAUGGGGGAGGGAACGUAAUCAAAUGUUCAACGUUUCAGAGACAGAGAGAAGAAAAUGAUGCUUAAAGUCUGUAUCUGUUUUACCAGGUUUCCACUUGGCUGACAAUCACAUCCAAGCAUCAAUUGCUGAUAACAACCUGCUCCAAAUGAUUAUGAGUCCUGAACUUGCUAAAACCUGACGUGGACCAAUCCAGCCAAUGUGACUGCUGUCUUUCCAGCUUGUCAAUGUACCAGAUUCUUUAUGACCACCAGCAGUAGAUUCCAGGCCGUUGGAUCAAGGCCCGAAGGCCCGAUUAAAACGACAGUGCAGAGAAGAAUGACAUCGAGGGGAAACAAGGACAAUCUUGAGGUGCUGGUGGCAGCAAUGGCCCAGUUAUCAUUGACCAGAAAAUGUCCUCAUUGGCAUGUUAAAGCUCCUUUGCCUACCUGGGGGCAAAUUAAGUCUCUCACUGCUAAUGGUCAAGCUGUUCUGCAGAGGUAUGAUAAACCUGUUACAGCCCAGAAUCUUUUCCUGGCCAUGUGUGCUUUACUGUUGGUAACUUCUGCAGAAGCCAAUAGCUCCAGCUACAAAGAACAACGAGACAGUUAACGGUCCAGUCCUCGGCUUAUGGCUUGGGGAGAUGGAGGGUUAAGCGGACCUCGGAUGGCUACUCUACAAUUUCCCGACGCUGGUCAGAUGCAUAUUUGGAAGCUGACUGCUGCCUUAAAGACUGUGCACCUCUAUAAUGGAUCAUUUUCUGGAACUGCUUCCAGUGCUUCUGUGUAUAACUUCACUGUUGUGGGAGUAACUUCCGCUGCCUCAACCAAUAGUCACUGAAAUACGAGC